AUUAUAGUUGCGCAGGAACUUUGUUGACUCUAGAGAACCUCGGGCAAAUUGCACAUCCCCGUGGCGGCGACUUUGCAUGCGGAUGUCAUCUGUAUCAACUUUCCAUGCUAGUUUCUGCGCCUACCAUGGUGACCACGGGUAACGGGGAAUCAGGGUUCCAUUCCAUACAGGUACCCUGAGAAACGGCUACCACAUGCAAGGAAGGCAGCAGGCGCGCAAAUAAGCCACUCCCGACGCAGGAAGGUAG